rnacentral:rRNA from 1 species
GACGCCAGUCUGCAUGGAGUCAACCUUGAAAUACCACCCUUUAACGUUUGAUGUUCUAACCUAGGUCCAUAAUCUGGAUCGGGGACCGUGUCUGGUGGGGUAGUUUGACUGGGGCGGUCUCCUCCUAAAGAGUAACGGAGGAGCACGAAGGUUGGCUAAGCAUGGUCGGACAUCAUGCGGUUAGUGCAAAGGCAUAAGCCAGCUUGACUGUGAGAGUGACGGCUCGAGCAGGUACGAA